CUUCCUCUGCAAGAGAAACGAGAUGGAGAAGAAACCCCCACUGCCACCACCGUCCUCACCAUGGCUCCGCCUCCACAGACCAUCCCCCGCCGUUCCGAGGGCACCGGCGGAUGCGCCUCGUCCUCCUCUUUAACCUGGUUCAAGGAAUCGAGCCGGGGCUGGCUCCAUCAACGACAAAAUCACCGUUCCCUUCUCCAACUCCGGCGAGUUCAUCGUCGAUUACGACCGCUGGAGACCUCCCCCGUCCUCUCCGACCUCAUCCACGGCUCCCUGGUGAUGUGCUCGUUCUUCUAGACCUCUUCCCCGUCUAGUUCUCGUCCUCGUUUAUUUUCUACCGAUGUUGACCACCGGUAACCUCCGCAGGAGCUCGACGCCGGCGAUGCUCCGACGAGCCCCUGGAUCCGGCACCACCACCAUCAGGUUCAGCGCGUCAAUCCGCACCCCCGACGCCAUCUCGCCCUGUCCUGGUUCGUUCGGAAUUCCCAGAUCGACGCUCGACUGCGAGCUCCACCAUGGCUGUUCUUCCAGGAGCUUCCGCGUUGGCCUGGUUCAAAAGGCUGCACACCUCCUUUCGACCAACAGCAGAUGCAUCAGCCCAGUUGAUCCGGCGCCUGAUGGGCCUUGACCCAGAUCCUCCGACCCAGCCUGUCUCCCCGUGCGCCCAGCUCUUAUCCAUCGCCACUUCCAGGCCAGAUCCGGCCCAGAGAUAUCGCAGCAUUUGCUUCUUCCCGGAUAGGAUCACGAAGUGGUGUGGUGAGAUACGGCAAGUUCUCCGAAUGUUCCUCGGCGAGCUUUAACAGGCAAGCAUUUUCCCUUAUACUCCUGUCCCUGCAGGAGUCGCUCACCUAUUUUAUUUUGCCUUCUCUCUCAUGCUAUCCUUAAGUUGCGUUCUUGUCACGUGUCCCUUCCACUUGUUACCUCAAGCAGCCUAUAUUGACUCCACCAACCACCUACAGCUAUUGUUUGGUUAUCGGGUCCGCCUUGCGAGUCGUAGUGCAUGCUAGUGCUGUUUUAUCUCGUUACCGUUGUUGUUAUCUUAUCGGGAUAUGUUGGGUUGUUGGGCGGUUAUCACAUGCUAUAUCAGUUGUUGGAGAUACACAUGCUUUACUUUAUUGUUAACAACUAAAAUUGUAAGCAGAGGCAUCUGUGAGCCCCUUUGCGAAAGCAUCGGAACUUUGACUCGCUAAUGUCCCCUAGGACCCGAGUUCUUGUUAUCUGUUCCGAGAUUGAGCGCUCUACCCAUGCGUGGGGACGAUUAUUGGGACCCCCCUCACCCAUUACCUUUUCUCAAGUCAGUUGAAAAGGGGGCCACAACCUUGGUUUUAUUUGGCGCAUGCAUGUUUAUAUACUGUUGCCUUCGGGUGUUUACUUCCUGUUGCCUUUGGGUGUUUAUAUUCUGUACUGUACCCCGCGGGACGUUUAGCGAAGCGUGUGGUUUGCACGCCUAGCUGCCGACGCAAACCCUGAGUCCGUCUCGGAGUACGGCCGGACUUCGUCACGGGUAGCUUAGUCGGGUGGCCCCCUAGACUUUCUUGUUGAACUGGGAACGGUCUUGUUGUGAGACAUCCACCUGUCGUAAGUGGGUCGAGCAUGCGUAUGGUUACAUUUGGGCAACCCCUGCAGGGUGUACAUCUUAUCGAUAAGCCGUGUCCGCGGUUAUGGACGACUUGGAAUUGUAUAGCUUGAUCAUAGAACAACUUACACCGUUAUCUUGUUGCUAAUAAUCUGCUAAUAACUUGCGUAGUAAUAUAGCAUUACUACAACCGAUACCUAAUAAAACUUGUCCACCGUUGAGUGCCUUUUACAUUGCCUCUUCGCAAUUGUUGAAGGGGAUAUGUGUAUCUGGCUGGGUUAUGUUUGUGUAGUAUUUAUCUAUUACCUUAUGCGCUCUCUCACCUUCUCUGAAUAGACGAAUGUUGUAGAGUGUCUCUAUAGGUUUUUAGUGCUUGCGCUGCCGCUUAACUCCACCAUAUUGCCUAUGACGUUCCUCUUGCGUCCUCUAAGUCCCCUGCGUGCCUCAAGUACAAAGGACGACUGGUUGACGAAUGCUUAUACGUCUUGAAGUCUUGUUAAGUACGAACCCGUACUUAUUGCUGCUUCUACGGGACAUAACCGGGCAGGUAUGAAGAUAUGCUCGAUGAAGACGACGUUAGCAAGGUUACCCUUCCGGCUUGGCCUGGGCAGGGUUAUGGACGCCACUGGUUAUCUUCAGGACUCUUAGUCCAAUUUGCGUCUUGUCCGUACUCGGACGUAAUCGAUCUUCUGUAUGAUUUGGAUCUUUGUAUUGUAUAUUUGUAUCUUGACUCGUUGGAGUCGUUGAUGUAAUAUAUGUAUCUUGUGGGCUCUAUUGUAAUCC